rnacentral:rRNA from 1 species
GUGGAUUAGAUACCCUGGUAGUCCACCCCGUAAACGUUGGGAACUAGUUGUGGGGUCCAUUCCACGGAUUCCGUGACGCAGCUAACGCAUUAAGUUCCCCGCCUGGGGAGUACGGCCGCAAGGCUAAAACUCAAAGGAAUUGACGGGGACCCGCACAAGCGGCGGAGCAUGCGGAUUAAUUCGAUGCAACGCGAAGAACCUUACCAAGGCUUGACAUAUACGAGAACGGGCCAGAAAUGGUCAACUCUUUGGACACUCGUAAACAGGUGGUGCACGGUCGUCGUCAACU